CCUACGGGAGGCAGCAGUGGGGAAUCUUCCGCAAUGGACGAAAGUCUGACGGAGCAACGCCGCGUGAGUGAAGAAGGUUUUCGGAUCGUAAAGCUCUGUCUUUGAGGACGAAUGUGUCUAAUGUGAAUAAUGUUAGAUAAUGACGGUACCCGAGGAGGAAGCCACGGCUAACUACGUGCCAGCAGCCGCGGUAAU
rnacentral:rRNA from 1 species